UACUUAUCCUCUUUUACAUCUUACUUUGAUAGAAUAUGCAAAGUAUAUAAGGAGAGCAAAUUUGAAUGCAGUAUUUUCAUUCCUGGGGUACUAGGCUGUGAGAAGGCAAGCAGGGAUUGAUGUCAAGGAAUGCUAUCAGUCUGGUAUGUUUCUGCCAAUUUCUGUUAGUAUCUGACGGUUUCUCAAUUACUGGCACUAUUCACUUGAUGAAUUCAUUUCCAUCAUUUUCUUAGUCUCUUGUUAUUUCAAUUUCCUGAUUUUCAUUUACCUACUAGAUACUAGAAGUCCAUGGCUUACUCAUUUUCUUGGCUUUUAGUUUCUUAGUGUCUUAGUUAUUCAAUUUCUCAUUUUGCCUACCAGAUCUUUAUUAGCUUCAUGUGCUUGAUUCCUCGUUACUUUGUUUCUUAUUUCCUCAGCUAUUCAUUAUAAAAAUUUCAUUAGUUUCACUGUCGCAAUAUCUUGUUCAGAUUCAUGUGUUAGAGUCCUUGUUGCUAUGUUUUUAGCUUCAUGUGUCUCAAUAUCUCUGUUUUGCAUUUCCUACAAGAUCCACUCCGACAAAAACGAUCGCUGCCUUAUCUUAAUGCUAAUUAUUACUCAUUUGUCAGUCCUUCCUCUCACUGCUAACAUUUUGUAUAGUGUCAAUUACACAUGGAACAACCUCAGUUGUUGAUUGGUUUUCAGUUUACAUUCUUUUUUUCUUCAGAUUCCUUAGUUUCAUUCUUUCUUUUGUGAAGUGGUUUACAAAUCAGGCGCAAGUAGCACCGCUGCACUUUCUCAAAGCUAUUGAGUUUGCAUCCUCGACCGCACACACUCUGACCUACGGUCGUAGUUACUCUUUUCUCCGUCCAUGCGCUACUCUAGGUGCUGCACCAAUAAGGCACCAAGAACAUAAGAUACUCCUCCUCAAGGUAUCUCUAUCUCGGGUGCUCUAUUGUCCUGCUUCUUAUUAGCUCUUAUUUAAUUAGAUUCUUAGUAUAGCUCUAUAUGUCUUGAUUUGCAGAUAAUGCCCUAAGAAUCUCAUUGUUCUUAAUUCCCAGUAACUUAGUUUCUUAGUUUUACAAUUUUUGAGUUUGCAUUACACUCUGGCCUAAGGUCGCAGUCAUUCGUAUCCGUUUGUGCGCUCCUAACGGUGGACAUCAUCCCAUGAUUUUUAGCCACAUUUAGAAGUAACUAAUCAUGUUCUCUGAAUAAUUUGCUUUUCUUCAAACUUUAAUUUUGGUAAUCUAGGGAGACCUAUAUGCUUCUAAAGAUUUUGAACUAUGAGUAUGUCAGUAUUGUUGUUAAAAAUAUGCUUAGUAUCUUAUGCUUUGGUGCCUGAACUUGCAUGGACUGUAAGG